GUGUAGCUCAGUUGGUAGAGUAGCGGACUAAUAAUCCACAGGUCGCCGGUUCGAGUCCGGUCAC
rnacentral:tRNA from 1 species